rnacentral:tRNA from 1 species
GGGCGGUUAGCUCAGUUGGGAGAGCGCCAGAAUCGCACUCUGGAGGUCGGGGGUUCGACUCCCCCACCGUCCA